rnacentral:rRNA from 1 species
UGGGGGAUAUUGCACAAUGGGGGAAACCCUGAUGCAGCGACGCCGCGUGAGGGAAGACGGUUUUCGGAUUGUAAACCUCUGUCUUUGGGGACGAACAAAUGACGGUACCCAAGGAGGAAGCCACGGCUAACUACGUGCCAGCAGCCGCGGUAAUACGUAGGUGGCAAGCGUUGUCCGGAAUUACUGGGUGUAAAGGGAGCGUAGGCGGGGAGACAAGUUGAAUGUUUAAACUAUCGGCUUAACUGAUAGUCGCGUUCAAAACUAUCACUCUUGAGUGCAGUAGAGGCAGGCGGAAUUCCUAGUGUAGCGGUGAAAUGCGUAGAUAUUAGGAGGAACACCAGUGGCGAAGGCGGCCUGCUGGGCUGUAACUGACGCUGAGGCUCGAAAGCGUGGGUAGCAAACAGGAUUAGAUACCC